GACUUAAAAUCCGUCGAUUUUUUAAAUUGUGAGG
rnacentral:tRNA from 1 species